rnacentral:rRNA from 1 species
CAGCCGUAAACUAUGCGCGUUAGGUGUACUGGUGACCACGAGUCACCGGGGUGCCGAAGGGAAACCGUGAAACGUGCCGCCUGGGAAGUACGGUCGCAAGGCUGAAACUUAAAGGAAUUGGUGGGGGAGCACCACAACGGGUGGAGCCUGCGGUUUAAUUGGACUCAACGCCGGAAAUCUCACCGGAUAGGACAGACAUAUGAUAGUCGGGCUGAAGACUCUACUUGAUGAUCUGAGAGGUGGUGCAUGGCGUCAGUGACU